CGGAGGUUUCUGCAUCUCUAUGGUCUGGGCCUCAAGCGGCGGAGCCUGAGGUCUCUGGUGCAAAGGAAAGUGGCCUCGCAGCGAGGAGGGGAAGGAGCAUCGGUUCAUCUCUUCGUGAUCCCUUUCCUACCCCUUCACACUCGUGCGCACCUGGCAGUACCACCAGCAGAGUCUCGGAAAUUGCUUUCAUCACGAUUUAACAAAAUGAAGACACAGGAACACACUAGGACACCGCCAAAGUCAGCAAGUCUCUCUAGCAUUUUUCCGGGAAUACCCCGAAGGUGGGACUGUGUCUUAUUCACCUUUGUACUCUGGGUGGUUAACACUGUUCCCACCCCAGAAAUGGUGCUCAAUAAAGUCUUCUUGAAGAAAACAGAAUAGCCUCGAGUCCAGAGCUGAGAAAGAAGUUGGAACAACUAGUGAAAAGGAAUCAUCUCUUUCCUUGGAGACUAAAAGGAGAAAUUAGCGUUCUCUUCAGAUCCAGAUCGAUCCAAUCUACCUUCAAGAAAGACCACCCUGCAAGGCCGGUAUUCAUAUGCAAACAUUCAGACAUAAAAUGCAAAGUGUAGCCGGGCGCGGUGGCUCACGCCUGUAAUCCCAGCGCUUUGGGAGGCCGAGGCGGGCGGAUCACAAG